UGUGCCUCAGUUGCUGUGUAGCCCUGACAGAGAGUCACCGCCUGACACCACACAACUGGCUGUUAGAUCAAGAAGGAGCAGACUCCGUGGAGACGGCAAGAUGAGACUCCUGGCGCAGCUCCUCUGCCUCCUGGUGAUAACCUUUCAGGACUGCAUGGGGAACAUUAUGCUGACUCAGUCGCCGGCGGUCCUGGAAGCAUCACUAGGCGACUUUGUCACCAUCACCUGCAGAGCCAACAUGCAGGUAGGUACCUCCAUGGCCUGGUACCAACAGAAACCGGAGCAGGCGCCCAGGCUGCUCAUCUUUGGAGCUUCUUCCAGGGCUGCUGGGACCCCUUCCAGGUUCCGGGCAAGUGGCUCCGGGUUUGACUUCUCUCUCGCUAUCCAUGGAGUGGAAGCUGAAGACGUCGGGGUGUUUUACUGUCAGCAGCACUUCAGCCGACCUCUCACAGUGACAGAUCCCCGAACAAAAACAAAGAAGUCGCCUGCUCUGGUGCAAAGACACCUGUUCCUUGCAGAAGGCACAAUCCGAGAGGCGUGAAGGGGCCGUGUGGCAGGAGCCUAGAGUCCGCUUCCUGUUCUGGAGCAGCAGGGGAAGGAGGAGGAAAUUGCCUUACAUUUGAACUGAGUCUUCGCAAAGGCAAAGAGGGAAGGGCGUGAGCGCCACUCUGUGGUCUGGACAAAUGCCGUCGCUUGUUUUAUUUAUUGCACGUUCCCAGAGCACCCCAGCACUUACAGGACUGCAGCCACAACUCGUUCUUUCUUGUGUGUGACUCUGUGGCCAGGCCGGGCAUCACUGGUGCAGCCUCACGCAGCCGGGUCUGCUGGGCGGGGAUGCUCACCUUGGCUUCCCCCACCUGUCUGCCGCUUGGUGCUGGCCGUCAGCUGAGGCGCGCCAGUUGGAGAAGAGGUGGGUGCGUUGCACCUCAACAUCUAGCAUUUUUGGAUGAAUUGUCUGUAUCAUGUUUAUGCUGUUUAUGAAAAUUAAUUAGCUACUGGAUACAUUCCAUCCUUGCUACCAUAUGCCUGGCCAGAAUUUGGAACCUAAUACUAUAAGGGCUUGUCUAAGGUAUUGUC